rnacentral:misc_RNA from 1 species
ACGGCUGGGUGUUGGGCGCUGUCCCCCCGGGGACACGCCCCAAAAGCAGUGGCGGCGCCGCGUCGGGUCCUCGAGCGUAUGGGGCUUUGUCACCCGCUCGGGAGGGACUCGGUCGGCGCUGGUCUUCCCUUUAGGCCGCCCUUCGGGGUGCGCCUCUUCCGGUUGACCUCGGAUCAGGUAGGGCUACCCGCUGAACUUAA